CCUACGGGAGGCUGCAGUGGGGAAUCUUUUGCAAUGCGCGAAAGCGUGACAAAGCAAUGCCGCGUGCCGGAUGAAGGUCUUAGGAUUGUAAACGGCUGUCACCCGUGACGAAAAAUGACGGUAACGGGAGAGGAAGCCACGGCUAACUACGUGCCAGCAGCCGCGGUAAUACGUAGGUGGCGAGCGUUGUUCGGAUUUAUUGGGCGUAAAGGGUCCGUAGGUGGUUUGUUAAGUCUGACGUGAAAUCCCAUGGCUCAACCAUGGAACUGCGUUGGAGACUGAUGAACUUGAGUAUUGGAGAGGUAAGCGGAAUAUCAGGUGUAGCGGUGGAAUGCGUAGAUAUCUGAUAGAACACCAAAAGCGAAGGCAGCUUACUGGACAAUUACUGACACUGAGGGACGAAAGCGUGGGGAGCAAACAGGCUUAGAUACCCCAGUAGUC
rnacentral:rRNA from 1 species